rnacentral:rRNA from 1 species
UGCAGGCUUAAUACAUGCAAGUCGAGGGGUAACAGAGAGUGCUUGCACUCUGCUGACGACCGGCGCACGGGUGCGUAACGCGUAUGCAACCUACCUUUUACAGAGGGAUACCCAAGAGAAAUUUUGAAUAAUACCUCAUAAUCUCUAUUAACAGCAUUGUUUAUAGAGUAAAACUUCGGUGGUAAUUGAUGGGCAUGCGUCCUAUUAGUUUGUUGGUGAGGUAACGGCUCACCAAAACUACGAUAGGUAGGGGUCCUGAGAGGGAGAUCCCCCACACUGGUACUGAGACACGGACCAGACUUCUACGGAAGGCAGCAGUAAGGAAUAUUGGACAAUGGAGGAAACUCUGAUCCAGCCAUGCAGCGUGCAGGAAGAAUGCCCUAUGGGUUGUAAACUGCUUUUAUACAGGAAGAAACUUUUCCACGUGUGGAAAACUGACGGUACUGUAAGAAUAAGGAUCGGCUAACUCCGUGCCAGCAGCCGCGGUAAUACGGAGGAUCCAAGCGUUAUCCGGAAUUAUUGGGUUUAAAGGGUCCGCAGGCGGUUUAUUAAGUCAGAGGUGAAAUCCUUCCGCUUAACGGUAGAAUUGCCUUUGAUACUGAUAAACUUGAGUUAUUGUGAAGUAGUUAGAAUGUGUAGUGUAGCGGUGAAAUGCAUAGAUAUUACACAGAAUACCAAUUGCGAAGGCAGAUUACUAACAAUACACUGACGCUGAGGGACGAAAGCGUGGGUAGCGAACAGGAUUAGAUACCCUGGUAGUCCACGCCGUAAACGAUGGUCACUAGCUGUUUGACUAACAUUGGUUGGUUAAGUGGCUAAGCGAAAGUGAUAAGUGACCCACCUGGGGAGUACGG